GAGAGCCGUGUUAUGGGUGACCUUAUUGCACGGUUCAGAGAGCAGUGGCUUGUUGCACAGAUGCCCCAGGCUUACAGAUCGGCCUCUCGAUCUUCUGGUGAGCCUUAUUACUCUAAC
rfam:Beta vulgaris subsp. vulgaris chromosome 6, whole genome shotgun sequence.